GAUGAACGCUGGCGGCGUGCCUAAUACAUGCAAGUCGAGCGAACGGACGAGAAGCUUGCUUCUCUGAUGUUAGCGGCGGACGGGUGAGUAACACGUGGAUAACCUACCUAUAAGACUGGGAUAACUUCGGGAAACCGUAGCUAAUACCGGAUAAUAUUUUGAACCGCAUGGUUCAAAAGUGAAAGACGGUCUUGCUGUCACUUAUAGAUGGAUCCGCGCUGCAUUAGCUAGUUGGUAAGGUAACGGCUUACCAAGGCAACGAUGCAUAGCCGACCUGAGGGGGUGAUCGGCCACACUGGAACUGAGACACGGUCCAGACUCCUACGGGAGGCAGCAGUAGGGAAUCUUCCGCAAUGGGCGAAAGCCUGACGGAGCAACGCCGCGUGAGUGAUGAAGGUCUUCGGAUCGUAAAACUCUGUUAUUAGGGAAGAACAUAUGUGUAAGUAACUGUGCACAUCUUGACGGUACCUAAUCGGAAAGCCACGGCUAACUACGU
rnacentral:rRNA from 1 species